rnacentral:sRNA from 1 species
AGUGACGCGGCGCCGGCCAGAAAUCCGACCGGACCGGGCUCGGGGGAGCGUGAGUUGCAGGUGUGUGCCUAUCUUUGCGUCUCUGUUUGAGAGGACAAACUGUGGGGCUGGGACCGCGAGGUGACUGUGACUGAGGAAGAGUGUUAAAAGAAGAUGGAUGCACAGUGUUCAGCCAAGGUCAAUGCAAGGAAGAGGAGAAAAGAGGCGCCCGGACCCAACGGGGCAACAGAAGAAGAUGGGGUUCCUUCCAAAGUGCAGCGCUGUGCAGUGGGCUUACGGCAACCAGCUCCUUUUUCUGAUGAAAUUGAAGUUGACUUUAGUAAGCCCUAUGUCAGGGUAACUAUGGAAGAAGCCAGCAGAGGAACUCCUUGUGAGCGACCUGUGAGAGUUUAUGCCGAUGGAAUAUUUGACUUAUUUCACUCUGGUCACGCCCGAGCUCUGAUGCAAGCGAAGAACCUUUUCCCUAAUACGUACCUCAUUGUGGGAGGUAAGAAAACAUUUGGUGACUUCAGGUGCUGUGCAGAAAAAGAUGAUAGUACAGUCUGUCUUUCUCAGCUGAGUACACUGGCUCUUGUUUCCAUUUUUAAAUGAAGGAUGUAGUACAGCCUCUCUAACACACAUGAAGUAUAUGGGUACCAGCAAACUAAACCUGGAGAGAGGAGCUUCAAGCUCCUCGACUGUGCCGUCUGGCAUUUAUUCACUGCUUGUAGCUGAGUUUCUGCGGUCACAGGAGCAGCCGUGACUUCCGUUGUCCACUUUAAAACAUUUGCUUUAGAUUUCAGUUUAUCAUUUUGAAUUAACUGGAGUACAAACAUCUGCCAAGGAAAUGUUAGGUGGUCCAGUCCAGUGUGAAUAAAACAGGAAAACAUGUUUAAGGACUUAAUUGAUGCAGACACGCACAGCAGGUUUAUUUCAGAGUCAAAGAUCUUGGUCACCUGUUGUGCCGUCCCUUCUCUAAAGUAUGAACAUACUGUUUAGUGAGUGUUGCCCCUGAGGGUAUACGCUGCAUUAGGAAAAGCGUUACCACCCAGGUUCAACCACCUUUAGAAGACUUUCUUCCAGUUGGGGAAGAUGGUUGCAGUCCUAAGCAGUGGGAGAAGAUGGGAGAGGUCGGUGGCUGAGGAGGUGCUAAGCAAAGAGGACUCCAACACACAAUUUAUGAUGUGGUGAACCAGUUUGCAGUGAUGAGCUCACACACAACUUCAAAGGCUUCACGGUGAUGAACGAGAAUGAGCGCUAUGACGCAGUCCAGCACUGCCGCUACGUGGAUGAGGUGGUAAGGAAUGCGCCCUGGACGCUGACACCCGAGUUCCUGGCCGAACACCGGAUUGAUUUUGUAGCCCAUGAUGAUAUUCCUUAUUCAUCUGCUGGCAGUGAUGAUGUUUAUAAGCACAUCAAGGAGGCAGGCAUGUUUGCUCCAACACAGAGGA